rnacentral:rRNA from 1 species
UACGGGGGGGGUAAGCGUUGUUCGGAAUUACUGGGCGUAAAGGGCUCGUAGGCGGCCAACUAAGUCGGACGUGAAAUCCCUCAGCUUAACUGGGGAACUGCGUCCGAUACUGGAUGGCUUGGAUUUGGGAGAGGGAUGCGGAAUUCCAGGUGUAGCGGUGAAAUGCGUAGAUAUCUGGAGGAACACCGGUGGCGAAGGCGGCAUCCUGGACCAAUAUUGACGCUGAGGAGCGAAAGCCAGGGGAGCAAACAGG